AGUGGAAUAGCUGGGUCAAAUGAUGGUUCCAUUUCAAGUUUUCUAAGGAAUCUUUAUACUAUGUUCCAGAUUUGUUGCACCCAUUUGUAGUCCCACCAGCAAU
rnacentral:pre_miRNA from 1 species